rnacentral:rRNA from 1 species
AAUUCGCCCUUCCCUAUGGGGGUGCAGCAGGCGCGAAACCUUUACAAUGCACGAAAGUGUGAUAAGGGAACCCCAAGUGCUCAUGUAUAACAUGGGCUUUUGCCAAGUGUAAUAGCUUGGAGAAUAAGUGGUGGGUAAGACUGGUGCCAGCAGCCGCGGUAACACCAGCGCCACGAGUGGCAACCGUUUUUAUUUGGCCUAAAGCGUCCGUAGCUGGUCUUGUAAAUCCUUUGUGAAAUCAUCGGGCCUAACCUGAUGGCGUGCAGGGGACACUGCAAAACUCGAGACCGGGAGGAGUCAGAGGUAUUCUGAGGGGAGCGGUAAAAUGCUAUAAUCCUCAGAGGACCACCUGUGGCGAAGGCGUCUGACUAGAACGGAUCUGACAGUGAGGGACGAAAGCUAGGGGAGCGAUCCGGAUUAGAUAUUAAAAAUCCUGCGGAUUUUUAAACUUCGUUCCACGAAGUACGAAAAAUCAUCAUGAUCGUGAUAACUAAACUGUGAUGGUUUUUUUUGUUAUCAGGAUUUUUAACUAAAUACCCGAGUAAUCCUAGCCGUAAACGCUGCGAGCAAGGCGUUGCAUAUUCUCCGUGAAUAUGCAGUGUCGAAACGAAGGUGUUAAGCUCGCCGCCUGGGAAGUAUGGUCGCAAGACUGAAACUUAAAGGAAUUGGCGGGGGAGCACUACAAGGGGUGCGGCGUGCGGUUCAAUCUAACUCAACGCAGAAAACCUCACCAGAGGCGACGGCAGAAUGAAAGUCAGUCUAAAGGGCUUACUUAACGAGCCGAGAAGAGGUGCAUGGCC